rnacentral:ncRNA from 1 species
GCAGAGUAGGAAAUUUAGCGUAAAGUGUCCAUCAGACGGGGAGUUGCUGACGGAACGAAGGGGAAGUCCCGCGGUGAAAUUUCCGCAUCCCGCUGU